rnacentral:lncRNA from 1 species
AAACGGCGGCUGUGCUGUAGCUAUAGCUGUGGUUGCUGCUUUUACAGACCGCAAAAAUGAACUGGGAUAAUCAGCUCAGCUCUAUUAUAUCAGCAGCUGAUGGAAGUGUUGCUAAAAUGCGGGAACGACUUACCACACAUGGAAGACUUUCCAGAGAAAGAGAAGAUGUGUUUCCAAUGAGAGAGAGGAGUCAUGCUGUGGGUCUGGAACCCUGUGUUCCCCCUCUCCUUCCCCAGGCCUCCCCCGCACUCAGUGGAGCUGUUCAGUGGGCAGACCUGGCAGGUUUGCAGGCCCAGCUCCACAGCCACAGCCAGGUCAGACUCACAGCUCAUACCUGCCACCUACCUGUGUGUGAUUGUGUGUGAGAGUGAGUAAGAACAAGAAAGCCUGUUCAUGAUAGUUUGCCGUUUAUACAGAUAGGAUUACACUGUAGCAGUUGUUUCCUAAUAUUAGCAUAUAUUAAUGGAAAACACUGUUGUUUUUCUGCAGACUAUAGAAUUUUUAUCAAAGAGCUUGAUGUCUGUAGAGAGAGAAAGAAAUGCUCAGCAAAGACAAAUACAAACAUUACAAGGUGAGUAUCCACUCUUUGUUGUAAAUAAUUAGGGCCUCCAAACUCAGUCCAAACUUAACAUGACACAUUUCAC